GACGAACGCUGGCGGCGUGCUUAACACAUGCAAGUCGAACGGAAAGGCCCAGCUUGCUGGGUGCUCGAGUGGCGAACGGGUGAGUAACACGUGGGUGAUCUGCCCCUAACUUCGGGAUAAGCUUGGGAAACUGGGUCUAAUACCGGAUAGGACAAUCGUUUAGUGUCGGUUGUGGAAAGUUUUUUCGGUUAGGGAUGAGCCCGCGGCCUAUCAGCUUGUUGGUGGGGUAAUGGCCUACCAAGGCGUCGACGGGUAGCCGGCCUGAGAGGGUGGACGGCCACAUUGGGACUGAGAUACGGCCCAGACUCCUACGGGAGGCAGCAGUGGGGAAUAUUGCACAAUGGGCACAAGCCUGAUGCAGCGACGCCGCGUGGGGGAUGACGGCCUUCGGGUUGUAAACCUCUUUCGACAGGGACGAAGCUUUGGUGACGGUACCUGUAUAAGAAGCACCGGCUAACUACGUG
rnacentral:rRNA from 1 species